UGCUGAAGCAACAAAUGCCCUGCUUCCAGGAAAAGCCUCUAAGCAUCAGGUAACAUCAAAUCGUACCCCAAACCGACACAGGUGGUCAGGUAGAGAAUACCAAGGCGCUUGAGAGAACUCGGGUGAAGGAACUAGGCAAAAUGGUGCCGUAACUUCGGGAGAAGGCACGCUGACACGUAGGUGAAGUGAUUUACUCAUGGAGCUGAAGUCAGUCGAAGAUACCAGCUGGCUGCAACUGUUUAUUAAAAACACAGCACUGUGCAAACACGAAAGUGGACGUAUACGGUGUGACGCCUGCCCGGUGCCGGAAGGUUAAUUGAUGGGGUCAGCGCAAGCGAAGCUCCUGAUCGAAGCCCCGGUAAACGGCGGCCGUAACUAUAACGGUCCUAAGGUAGCGAAAUUCCUUGUCGGGUAAGUUCCGACCUGCACGAAUGGCGUAAUGAUGGCCAGGCUGUCUCCACCCGAGACUCAGUGAAAUUGAACUCGCUGUGAAGAUGCAGUGUACCCGCGGCAAGACGGAAAGACCCCGUGAACCUUUACUAUAGCUUGACACUGAACAUUGAGCCUUGAUGUGUAGGAUAGGUGGGAGGCUUUGAAGUGUGGACGCCAGUCUGCAUGGAGCCGGCCUUGAAAUACCACCCUUUAAUGUUUGAUGUUCUAACGUGGACCCGUGAUCCGGGUUGCGGACAGUGUCUGGUGGGUAGUUUGACUGGGGCGGUCUCCUCCUAAAGAGUAACGGAGGAGCACGAAGGUUGGCUAAUCCUGGUCGGACAUCAGGAGGUUAGUGCAAUGGCAUAAGCCAGCUUGACUGCGAGCGUGACGGCGCGAGCAGGUGCGAAAGCAGGUCAUAGUGAUCCGGUGGUUCUGAAUGGAAGGGCCAUCGCUCAACGGAUAAAAGGUACUCCGGGGAUAACAGGCUGAUACCGCCCAAGAGUUCAUAUCGACGGCGGUGUUUGGCACCUCGAUGUCGGCUCAUCACAUCCUGGGGCUGAAGUAGGUCCCAAGGGUAUGGCUGUUCGCCAUUUAAAGUGGUACGCGAGCUGGGUUUAGAACGUCGUGAGACAGUUCGGUCCCUAUCUGCCGUGGGCGCUGGAGAACUGAGGGGGGCUGCUCCUAGUACGAGAGGACCGGAGUGGACGCAUCACUGGUGUUCGGGUUGUCAUGCCAAUGGCACUGCCCGGUAGCUAAAUGCGGAAGAGAUAAGUGCUGAAAGCAUCUAAGCACGAAACUUGCCCCGAGAUGAGUUCUCCCUGAGACUUUAGGUCUCCUGAAGGAACGUUGAAGACGACGACGUUGAUAGGCCGGGUGUGUAAGCGCAGCGAUGCGUUGAGCUAACCGGUACUAAUGAACCGUGAGGCUUAACCUUACA
rnacentral:rRNA from 1 species